rnacentral:lncRNA from 1 species
CCUUAUCAAAGAAGCUUACUGCCUUAGGGCCCCAAAAAGACCCUAAAUCUUUUUCAAAACUUCCAAAAAUUUUCUAAAACACCCUUUUAACAUACCUAAACAUAUUUCAAGUCAAAAAUUGACAUUAUGCAUGCAGGAGGUCAAAAAUAGAUUCAUUUAAAUUUUUCAAGGUCUUAUAUUAUCCCCCCCAUACAGGAUCAUUCAUCCCCAAAUGAGGAGUUAGGACGAUUUAAGCAAUAUAAUAAAAAG